AGGGGUCUCAAGUGUUCUGCCUGAAGUAAAUAUUUGUUUUCGGAAUAUCUAAGGCUUCUCAGACUACAUUUUAAUUCGAACAAGACAUUCGCCUACUCAAUGUAGAGCAAGUAAAAAAAAAAAUAGACAAAUAUUUUUAUCCUUAAAAAUGGUGUGGGCUGGGAACGGUGGCAGACGUUGCAAGUUAUAAAGUAUGAGAAAGAUCUUAGUGCAAGUUAUAAUGAACAAGAUAGGUCUUAGUGCAAGUUAUAAAGUAUGAGAUAGGACUUAGUGCAAGUUAUAAAGUAUCAGAUAGGUCUAAGUGCAAGUUAUAAAGUACGAGAUAGGUCUUAGUGCAAGUUAUAAAGUAUGAGAUAGAUAUUAGGUCUACGUGCAAGUUAUAAAGUACGAGAUUGGUCUUAGUGCAAGUUAUAAAGUAUGAGAUAGGACUUAGUGCAAGUUAUAAAGUAUGAGAUAGAUAUUAGGUCUACGUGCAAGUUAUAAAGUACGAGAUUGGUCUUAGUGCAAGUUAUAAAGUACGAGAUUGGUCUUAGUGCAAGUUAUAAAGUAUGAGAUAGGACUUAGUGCAAGUUAUAAAGUAUGAGAUAGAUAUUAGGUCUACGUGCAAGUUAUAAAGUACGAGAUUGGUCUUAGUGCAAGUUAUAAAGUACGAGAUUGGUCUUAGUGCAAGUUAUAAAGUAUGAGAUAGGACUUAGUGCAAGUUAUAAAGUAUGAGAUAGGAUUUAGUGCAAGUUAUAAAGUAUGAGAUAGGAUUUAGUGCAAGUUAUAAAGUAGGCUAUGAGAUAGUGCAAGUUAAAGUCCAGGCUGGGGAACACGAGUUUCCUCAAUAAGUCAGUGAGGGUGUCUACGCGGUAGAUUGUUGUACUGACACACGACACUCUCAUUGACACUGAAACACAUAAAGAGAUUAUACUAACCUAGCAUAACAUUUAGCAUUUCUAUGUCUUGCAGUAAAAGUACUGCUAUUAUGAAUAGAAAAUGCAUGUUAGUUUUAGCGCUAGCUACUUUUGUACCCAGAAACAGCCUACAUAGUACUGAACAUUGUUCCGAUCAUUCAUCUACCCUGCCCUCCUUCGAACGAGUCCAACAAUGCUUUCAUCACCAAACUUUUUGUUCAUGGUAGAGCUCGUGAGCAGCCGAGUGAAAACGUUUAUUCACGUAGGCCUACUGCUUUUAUCCUCCCCCCAUCCAGUUAGUCAAAAGAUGGCCGAGGAAAGGCGACGAAGACGAAAGAGAAGAAGGGCGAAGGUAAAAUAUUGGAAGGAUCGAAUCGAUUAUAAAGGGAUCAUCAACAGUGUUUCAACGACUCUCCUCCUUGUGAUGGAAGGGACAUAUAUAAAAAUGGAAGAUUAAGAAAAAUUGUGUAAACCAAGAAAUGGGCAGAGAAGCAGAACGACUUAGCAUAGGGGUCUUUCUGGAAGGUCUUUGAUGUUUUUAUGGGAAUUUCAAGGCCCUCGACAAUAAAUGUGAUAAGUCCAGCACUGAACCGUUUGUCAAGAUUUUCGUCAAUGCUUUCAAAUUUCAGUGCCAAAUGAAACAACAAAUUUAAUACAAAAAAUGAUUAAGUGAAUAAAAUCUUUCAAAGAAGUUGUAUUUCUAUAUCUUUGAUGAUUGUAACAUUAGCGUUGUAAAAGGAAAUCCGAGUCAUGGAAAUAAAAGACAAGAUUGGCAUCAUUUUUUGAUAAAAAGAUUAUUUUUUAUACAGCCAACGAGUAGAUUAAAACGUACAGAUACAUUUAACUCUCUUCUGUGAUUUGAAAAUUGCUUUUCUAACUCCGAAUAAAUAGCAAGAUUCUUGUAUGGCCAACUAAGCGAAGGAAAGCGCUCGCUAGGUUGUCAAAGAAAGCGCUUUAGGGACACCCUUAAAGCUUCUCUGAAGGCGUUCAGCAUAGACCCAGCCACCUGGGAGACAGAGGCACAUGACAGAGCAUCAUGGCGUCGCGCUGUGAAAACUGGCGCACAGGUUGCUGAGGAAAAGAGAACAACGCUGGCAGAAGAAAAACGCCAGAGAAGAAAAGCAAGGCUCACGACACUAGCUCCAGCUGGAAUAACCUGCCCAGUGUGCAGCCGAACAUUCCGGGCUCACAUAGGUCUCACCAGCUACAUGAGGAGACAUAAAACCCCAGUGCAAAGCCCUCAGCCCCCUGGAUGACAAAGUGGUCAUCAUUGAACCACGAUGGACGAACUAUAUCAAAUAGCAAGAGUUGGGCGAUAUGUCGGCCGCAAUACAAAACAUUUUAAACCCUGCUGCUCUAUCUCUUAGUUUUAAAUUGAUAUUUCUAAUUAUCAUGCGGAAAAGGAUGGCGACUUGAACUGCAUUCUUAUUUUCAUGGCACAUCACCCAUAAGAAUCUACUUUUUAAGCAUUCGCCAUCCAAAAAAAAGGCUACAUUUCACUACUUAAACUGUGAGCAUUUUUGUAGCAUGACUCAUUUUCUUGUCUUUUCUUGGUAAUUAUUCUCGUUAAUCUUCUGUUCUCUAAGCGUUACUUGGUAAUCUUAUUUGCGGCUCAAACUAAGAAUGCCGCCAUAUUUCUUUAUGUUUUUUUAUUUCAUUAUUCUGUUUAACAUUACGUUCUAUACAAACAGCCACAAACGGGUCUAAACAAAUCAAGCAUAUUAGAUUAUUUUCAUGCUCCACAAAAAGAUAAAGAUCUGGUAGUUUCUACAUUCAGAGUCUACUUUUCGUUUCUUCGAAUCUUCCAUUUCAUUAACACACAAAAGAUUCCAAAAGACAAUCCAAAAUGACUCAAGAAAGAUGCAAACACAAGAUGUCAAGGACAACGCCAGCUCAAGACAGCAGAACUUUGCAAGAAUUUAAAAUAACUAUCUAGUCAUCUCGCUGAAAACUAAGUUUUUUUGUUUUUCUUUUGUUGUUGUUCUUUUUCUUACAAGAAUAUUACAAAAUAUUGAUUUCUUCGGUUCGUACCGAUCAGUUUUUAAGUUAAGGUUCGGUUCCUUUGUAAGUGAGGUUCGAGUUCGGUUACUUUCUCGUCUCAAAGUAAAACUAUGGCGUGCUCCAACAUGGUGGUGUUCCUAUAUGCAAAGUCGAGCACUAUGAGGGAUUAAAUCUUAUAUACGGUGUAAGGAUUGAACCACGUUUGCUAGUAAAAUUAGCAAGAAAGGGAACGCUUGAUCUUACUAAUCUUAGUAUAAUUUUAUCUCAGGCCUACUUACAAUGCAAGUGGAUUUUGUUAAUAUCGAUAAUCAGAAAUUAAUAUAGGCCUAAUUAUUACAGACGUAUUUGCACUCUAUGUGCCUUGAAUGUCCUCACAUAGAAUUAUCGCCUCGUGCUUCGUCCUCUUCUUUAUUUGAUAUAAUUUCACGUGCACUUUUUAAACUUUUUAGAUUAAUUGUGCACUGAAGAAUGCAAGGUUUUGCAGGCAAACGUGAUACAUUCUUAUUUAAGUUUCUGAUUCAAAUAAUUCAUCUUAAACAAACGUGAGCAGUUCUAAUUACAGUUUCUACUGUUGUGCUCCAAUCAAGGCUUAUAACACACAUGCGAGUCUGUAACACUGCUCGUCUUUUCAUUGGGUUUAUAACAUUUGAGUUAUUUCGCGAUUUGCAUUUAAAAUAAUGUAAUCAUCUCAAGACCUAAUUAGUUCUAGUUGAGUUGUAAAUAAAUACAGAAUCAGAAGUAGUCACCAGCAACCAGUACUCCAUCUGUCAGACAACUUCAACAUUACCAUAUUUUGUCAAGUUAGGCCAAAAGAAGAAACACUAGAAUUGUUUCAAAAAUUAAAUAGAAUAAAAAAAAAGAUACUUUUGAUUUGGAAAUGAAAACCUGAGUAAAUUCUCAAAUAAGGGUGCCAUCCAAAUCACUAGUGAUAUCCUAAGUUUUAUAGAUAGUAUGUCUCACCUACAGUAUACACAAGUUUAAACAAACAAAACUAUUUUAAACACCAGGCUUAACAAGUCAACCAAGGGAAUACACUUUAGCAAUGUAGAUCUUCAAUUUCAUUAAUGAUGUAAUGAGACAAUCUAUGUUGCUAUUUCUGGAUAUGUAGACAUCUAAAUUUUAACAGCAAUGGUAUUUAAAUGAUAAGACUGAGAAAAAUAUGAUAUUUUAAAAAAGCUUAUAUAAAGUAUAACUGUACGGUAUCGAAUAGUUUGGAAUAGUCAUGUAAUUAAAUUUCUAAUAGAUCUAGACUAGCAAUAAUAAAUCUAUAUGAUUAGAAAUAUUGUUACAUGCUUAUAUCAACUCACUCUGUCUGUCUGGUAAAAAUUUUGUACACAUCAUUUCUCCCACACCCAUUCCAGGAUCAAGUUGAAACCUAGCACAAUUAUUCAUUGGCAUAGACGAGAAGUGAAUCAAUAAAAAAAAUUAACCAAUUAGUCAAUUAAUCACUGGUAAUGAAGAAGAAAAUGGAGAACGAGGAAGAAAACUGCACCUCUGAAUCAGCAUCUCAGAUAAUUUGGGGAAGAUACAACACAAGUCUAUCUCUUCAAACAACAUUGUGACAUUGAAAUAUUUUCAAACAACCUUAUUUUUUCUAUAUAAAAUGUAACAAAUAUUACGGUAUUAUAUAAUAAAUUAUAUAUAUUUAAAAUAUAUACAUAUAGACAAGUUCUAAAUGUGGUCCCAUGACAUUUGUUUAAAUAUUUUUCCAAUUAUAUUGUAAACUUUUUAGUUGAGUGACACUAAAGACAAAAAUAACAUCUGAAAUAGUUUUCCUUUCAUUUCUUUGUAAACAAAAUAAAUUUGAUGAAACAAAUCAGCUGUUUUGCUCCACUGAUUCAGCGUCAACAGGCUCAACAUUUUGAAGAGUUGGGUAAUUGAUUUGUGGAAAUUCAAAAGACUCAUGCAGUUUUAGAUGAAAUUUGCCAUCAUCCUCUGGCUCAGGUGUAGGCACUUUAAUUAUUUCAGCCUCUUCUUUCUCUUCAACUGUCUCUACAAUUGGCUCCUCUUGGCUGCCAACCGUGUAUCUAAUGGUCACCUGUUCUUCUGUUUCUCCAGCAACAGUUUCAGAUUCUGAUGGUUCCUCAACAAAUUUUAUCUCUGGAUGCUCCAGCUCCCUGUAAAUCUGAAGCAUACGAUUUAUUUUACAACACCUUUCACCAGUAUGAAUGCCUCCUAGUUUCAAAAACCUUGCCUUGAUUCCUACAGACUGAAAUUAAAGAAAUAGUUUUAUGAUAGGAUCUGUAGGAAAUUAUUAUUUUAAGAUAUUGGAAUCAGAACUGAAUUUCCAUUUGAUUGGACCAAUAAAAAAUUAUCUUAUCUUAUCUUAUUAAAGUUUAAAAUAGUGUUAAAUAUUUAAAACUAGCAUUUUACUUACAAAGUCAACCAAAAAUGUGUCAGUGGUCUCAAAGUCAUUAGUUGAAAUUAUUAUCUCAUUUUUUAGAGCUGAUAGGAAAAAAAUAUGUGGUCUAUAUUUAAAUUAAUGGAUUAGACAUCAAAUGCAUCCUAAAAUAUUACAUCGUUAAAUACAUGCAGUCAGAGGGAAAAAAAUGUGGAUGUCAUGUUACAAUCAAUUGUGUUAAUACAUAAACAAUUUAGAUAGGAAUGUUAACUUUUGAUGCUUAUCAUUUUGUUUCAGAAAAAAACAAAAAAAUAAGAGACACUAUAUGUCUUUAACAGGAAACUAAAAUAUGUAAUUACUUCUGGUGUUAAACUACUGUAAAAAAUAAAAUUAUUAUUUUUAAGCAUCUAAAUUGAUACAUCUUUAAUGACUGUGAGGUUUUGCUUUCAAUGGUAAUAAGCAUGAGUGAUUCAGUAAAAAAAAAAGCAUUAAUUAUCGGGACAUCAUGCUAGAAAAAUGAUGUUUACCUAGCUAGAUUACUUUCGAUCAAAUUAA